CACAGAGUAAACAGGACGUGGUAUAAGUGUCUGAGCCUCCACCCUUUUACAGGAGGAGGAAGAAGAAGAAGUGCUCUGACCCUGAAAUGGCAAGAUGGUCGAUCGAGCAGUGGCACUUGAAGCUUUGGGUGCGACCUGUAAUGCCACCAUAACUUCGGAGAGUUAUGGAGUGGCCGCAGACGCCGUGUUGGGAGCCACUGUCGGUCUGGUUUGUGGGGGCGGUCUGCUCGGUUUUGGUUCUGCGCUCGGAGGGAUCCCACUUCUGAGCAUCAACAACUUCAUCUCCACAGUCUUGGAUGGAGAACAAACCUGUUCGGUGUCACAGUACAACUCAACCAGGAUCCAAGAUGUCCUCCGAGGUGUAGCUUCUGCAGCAAACCCCUCCAGGUUGAUGUUCAGUGGUGCGUCAACAUUCAGGAAUUUUGUCAUUAAUGAGAGCAAAUUCUUUGAUCCCGACUUUGACUACGACUUCAGAGGUGAGACAGACACAGAGAUCUAUUACAGAGGUGGAGAGAAGUACACCCGCCCAUGUGGUUGGUUCCGCUUUGCCCUCAAGGUCUUGAACAAGUAUGAGGACAACACAUGGCUGGGAAACCAGGGCCGUACCACUGAGUCAGUGCCAGGAGAGUGGCCUGUGUCCUACCAUGGGACUUCAGCCAAGAAUGCUAAAGGAAUCAUCAAAACCAACUACCAGGCAGGCCCACGUGAAAAAUUUGGCAGAGGUGUCUAUUCCACCCCCGUCCUCUCUGAGGCUGAAGGAUACGCCAAACAGUUCACCUCGAAGACAAACGGAAAGACCUACAAAGUGGUGCUGCAGAAUCGCAUCAACCCGGCGCACAGAGAGAAACACAACAACGACAUUUACUGGCUGGUGCCCAUUGAGGACGGAAUGACACCUGAAGACGAGAAGCAGAAGGUGCAGCAGACCAUCCGUCCCUACGGCCUCCUGCUGAAAGAAGUCUGACAGACAGGAGCACCAGAGGUCAUUCCCAGUGCUGGAGGAAGUACUGAAGCUUGGAACUCAAGUAAAAGUACAAAUACCAAAAUAUAUUCUCAAGUAAAAAUAGAAGUGCUACAUCAACAAUCCUACUUAAGUAAAAGUCUUAAGUACUUUUAAAUGUACUUAAAGUAUUCAAAGUAAAAGUACUCACUCACUGAAUAUAUAUGAUUGAUUUCCAUUGCAAAGGAUCUGAACAGGUUAAAAUAUUCAAAGAAAUCAUCUUCAAAUUAAAAUGGACCAUGUGUAGUUAAUGUCCAUGUUCAGUCCAGAAGCAGCUAUGGACAGGUCUGUGUGUCAUGAGGCAGGCUGUGGGCAUCACGUGAACAGAGAGGCUGCUGAUAAAAAAACAGGCAUUCAGCAUGUUUACUGUGUCAGUGUUCCUGCUGUAGAUUCAUGUUAUGAUUCAUGUUCAUCAGACAUUCAUGGAUGGACCUGUGUUAGCAGACAGCAGCUAACUAGUUAGCUCACUGAGCCAGAGCACCGGCAUCAUGACUGAGGCUCAUUAUAGAAACACAGCUGGCAGCGUGACACCACCUCCAUGCAGAGUCUGACCUCACAUCAGUCCAGCACUGUGUUCAUCACAUGGAACAAGUGACUACAAACACUGUAGAAAUGUAGUGGAGUAGAAAGUACAGGUAACAGCUGCAACAUGUAAUGAGUCAAAGUAUAAAGUAUGUAACUUAUUUUUACUUAAGUAAAGUAUAAAUACAUAAAAAAAUUACUUAAGUACAGUAACGAAGUACAAAUACUUAGUUACUUUCCACCACUGGUCAUGCCACACUGAUUUGAAUGUGAAACUGAGUACCACACCUUAACUUAGAUGUUUCAAUGUUCAGGCCUUAAAUCUCUUUAAAAACAACAGGUAAUCCUUAAAUUGAGUUCAGAGGUCUUAAAAACAGGCUAGCACAGAUCAAAUAAACAUUUUUUUAUUUUCUUUGGAAAUAUUUAA
ensembl:lncRNA uncharacterized LOC114452313